CCUACGGGGCGCUGCAGUGAGGAAUAUUGGUCAAUGGGCGCGAGCCUGAACCAACCAAGUAGCGUGAAGGAUGACUGCCCUACGGGUUGUAAACUUCUUUUAUACAGGAAUAAAGUGAGGCACGUGUGCCUUUUUGUAUGUACUUUAUGAAUAAGGAUCGGCUAACUCCGUGCCAGCAGCCGCGGUAAUACGGAGGAUCCGAGCGUUAUCCGGAUUUAUUGGGGUUAAAGGGAGCGUAGAUGGGUUGUUAAGUCAGUUGUGAAAGUUUGCGGCUCAACCGUAAAAUUGCAGUUGAUACUGGCAGCCUUGAGUACAGUGGAGGUAGGCGGAAUUCGUGGUGUAGCGGUGAAAUGCUUAGAUAUCACGAAGAACUCCGAUUGCGAAGGCAGCCUACUAACCUGCCACUGACAUUGAUGCUCGAAAGUGUGGGUAUCAAACAGGAUUAGAUACCCCGGUAGUC
rnacentral:rRNA from 1 species